UCAAAUCCCAGGAGACUGGGCCCUUAAGAGGCAGGGAAGCUCUGCACCUUUCCCGGUUCUGAACUGUCUACACAGGAUGAACAAGGAUGCUGUAUGCAGGAAGGGUUGAAUGAAGACUCAUCAUCCUUCCGACAAGCAAGAAACAUCUGGAACAACAGAAGAGGAGUUGGUUCCUGAGCGUGGGAGCAUGAACUCAGUCUGACCCUGCCAGCAAGAAGUUGUCCAUAAGAAGGCUGACUCAGACAACUGUCCUCUGACAACUGCAUCCUUACAUUCCCCUCCUGUUGGCCCCUGCUGCUCCCAAGCAUGCAAAUGAAGCACCCUCAAUGUUCCUGCCCCAGCCAAUAACAUACACCCACAUGGGCCCAACCAGCCAUUCUUCAUGGGCUAUAAACAUCCCCUAAC